rnacentral:rRNA from 1 species
CGCGUAGGCGGGCCUUCAAGUCGGGUGUGAAAACUGGCAGCUUAACUGCCAGCCUGCAUUCGAAACUGUUGGUCUUGAGUACAGGAGAGGAAAGCGGAACUCCAGGUGUAGCGGUGGAAUGCGUAGAUAUCUAGAAGAACACCAGUAGCGAAGGCGGCUUUCUGGCCUGAUACUGACGCUCAAGCGCGAAGGCUAGGGGAGCAAACA